rnacentral:lncRNA from 1 species
AGAAGGUGGCAGGCUGGGAGCUUGAACACUGCUGCAACUUGCAAGCAGAACCCAGUGAUGGAGCAAAAUCCCAUUUCAGGCACAAGGAGAAUGAGGGCAAGGAGUCCCACCGGGCUCACGUGGGCACUGGCAUCGCCUUUCCGCCCGGUGCAGGAGGGGUACAAACGUCCCGCACUGCCACAGACACACACUGGGAGAACUGUGGGGGCUGGAGGAGGCAGCUGCAGGCAGUGGGACCGGGUACCCUGAAGCCGGAGCAGGAUGAGGAUGAGAAUGAUACAGAAGCUGGGGUCAUGGUGACCAUCCUGGGAGAACUGCACCAAUCUCUGCUGAGGCUCCAGCCCAGUGCAAGGUGCUGCCAGUCUGAAGCGACCCCAGGUCUCCAGCCCCUCUCACUGCCUCCUUUUGCUGCCGUUGAUGCAUAAAUCAGGAUCGAUACAGAUCCUCAUAGCGUGGGAAAGACGCAAGCUGCUGGUAUCAGACCUGGGGAUUUAU